GGUAGAAGAGGGAGGAGUCACUGUGUUGUCAUUUCACCUCACCAGACGGAGUUGGGAUCAGAAUCAACUGUCUCCACCGGGAGGGAGUACUUAGUGAAAUCCCUUGAUCAGGAAGUAGGAGAAUUUGGCUAAGAGGGAAUGGCAACAGAGUUCAUUUUGUAUCAAUGCCCUGGGCCCACAUAUUGGUUCUGGUUUUGUGGACAUAAAAGCUUAAAAGACUUUGAUUAACAUCUAUCUGUUCUCCUUGACCCUGUCACAAUUCUGAUUACUCUAAAUAAAACACAGUCUUUUUCAAUGUGAGAAAUUCGAUGCAACCACAAUAUGUGAGUUUUAACCAUACCCCUCUUUUUUACAAGUACUUUGCAAAUGAGCACGAUUGUUCCUGACUUUAUCUAAUUCACUCUCAAAACACUCAUGGAAAAUGUAGGGUGUCUGAUACUUUAUCUUCAUUUUAUUGGCAAGGAAACAGAUUCAGGUUGGUUGUGAUUUUGUUCAUAAGCACCCCAAUCAGUGAAAAAGCUAAAACUAGACUCUAAUUCCACAUACACUUAGUUCAGUGUUUUAAUUUCUAAACCAGUUUAUUCACCAUUUUAUUGAUAAACCCAAUUAAUAAGAGAAUCAGCAGGCAUACUUUAAAAGUAAUGUUUUGCUUUUCUAAUUUUUAAACAGAAUUAUCCCAAAUGAACUCACUGGCACAGUCAUUAGGACUGAGAAAUACAGUAUUAAGUAGCAAGGCAAAAAUCAUUUGAAGUUAAAAUAUUGUUGCAGAAAUUUUUUUAAUGAAUAAAUUAUCCUAGCUUGGUUCUUCUAAAGACCCCUUUGUGACCGAAUUUAAAUAAAUGUGGGCUUUUGAUUACUUACAAAAUUUCCUUCAGAGUUGAUGGAAUUCUUUGCCAUUUUUUAAAUCACUAGAUCUAUAUCCCCAUACUCAUUUUCCUUAGUUCUUUCAUUGCAGAAUCUACUUUCUAAUAUUUAUACUUUGUUUUUUGCCUCUUCUGCAUUUGAAAACCUUCACCUGACUCAUCAUUAAAUCUAUGAAUUUAUCGGUACUGGAAGUUCUGUCAAUGAUAUCCUAGUGUUUUCAGUGAUAUCAUUGUCAUUAUGUCUUCCAAAUUCAAUUAGGUGCUAAAACCUAUUACUAAUUUAUCUCUUUACUGUUAAUUCUGUAGCAUAGAGCAAUAUCAAGAUUCACCCUCAACCCCAACUCUGUUCUUGUGAAAUGAGUGAUAUAUUUAUGGUAAAAUCCAACCUUAUGUUGUCUAUCCUUAGGAAUGAGACAUGUACUACCAUUUGGUCAAAGCCAAGACAAGUUUCCCCAGUCUUCAAGGGAUGGUUGCUGUAGUGACACCUAGCAUUAUGUUCUCCUUGUCUUACUUCUCCAAUAAUAUAAACAUGGCAUGUUCAGCCCAGUUUAAAAAAAAGAAGCACUUGAGAACUCCCAGAAAUGAACAAGAUAAUGAAGGAGACAGAGUCUUGCUCUGUCACCCAGGCUGGAAUGCAAUGACACGAUCUCGGCUCACUGCAACCUCCAUCUCCCAGGUUGAAGUGAUUCUCUUGCCUCAGCCUCCUGAGUAGCUGGGAUUACAGGCUCCCGUCACCACACCCAGAUGGAAUAACAAGAGACUUCAAAGGGUUUAAUGGCCUUGCCUAAAGCUGUGGAGUUAACAAGUGAUGGACCAGGGAUUCAAAUACAAAGAUUUAUAUGUACAUUGAAAUAAGGUUGGCUCCAGUACGUUUCAAGUGCCAGCAACUGAAGGUGAACUCUGGUUGCUUCCAGGCCUCCCUUGCAUGAUUUGGGGUUAGAAUUGUCCAAAUACCAUGAGUAAUAUGGAAGUUCUCUGAAGGGUAAGUUCAUGCUCUGAUUUCACAUUUACUUUCUGAUAAUUCGACUGGAAACAUAACUGAGAGCCCUUGCUGUGGCAGCUUCCUGGAGAUGGGAGUGAUAUGCAGAGUCACUCUGCUUGGAACUUCAUCAGUUUAUUCCCAAAUCCUGGCAGAAUGAAUUCAACACUUGCUCCGUCAUUGCUGUUGCCAUUUCAUGCUUAAGAAACAAGACCUAGUUCUUAAAUAGCCACUGUCAACCACUUCUUCGAUGCUUCCUAUUUCAAAUGCUAUGGCUAUGUAAUAUUCAAAUUAUGAAUAUCUAAAAUAUAAGUGAUGUACUAUGCUGUGCUUCUUUUCUGAAAUAUACUUUUACAGUUUUGAAUUUAUAGUUCAUAAAUAUCCACUGAUAUUUCUGUACUUUCUGUCUCUUUUGAAGACAGCCUUUAGGUGAGGUUUUAUCCUAUGGGCUUUGGUGAUUAACAGCAAAACAAAUUAUGUUGUUAUAAUACUUAAUAUUUAUCAUAUCCUUUUGAAGAGAUGUUCAAAAUAUGUUAGACAUUUUCUCCUUUAUGUCAAAUGCUUUUAUAUACUACUACCACUGACUUAUUUUCAAAUGGUUUAUUCUCAUUAUUGAAAUACCUAAAUGGUCAUGUAAAAUUAAAAUAAUUUAUCUCAUAAAAUGAAAAUUAUGAAAAUAAAAAGGAUAAAGUCCACUUCUUUCAUUUAAUAUCUUUGGAUUCAUUUAAUAGAAUGCUUAAAUCAGGGGCUCUGGUAAAUUUUACCAUGGCUUUACAUUAUGUCAGUGGACAUUGUGUUUUAAUCCAAGACUAUGAAAAACUAACUGUAGAUAAACAACAAUUGAAUAAAUUACUAAUUAGCAAAAAAGAUGCCAAAUUGAGAUCACCUAUUAGCAUGAUUUAGAGCUAAUUUUAUACUUCUUUUUAGCUUUUCCUUGGCAAUAUCUUUUUUUUUUUUUUUCUGAGACAGUCUUGCUCUUGUCGCCCAGGCUGGAAUGCAGUGGCAUGAUCUCAGCUCACUGCAACCUUUGCCUCCCGGGUUCAGGCGAUUCUCCUGCCUCAGCCUCCUGAGUAGCUGGGAUUACAGGUACCCGCCACCAUGCCUGGCUAAUUUUUGUAUUUUUAGUAGAGACGGGGUUUCGCCAUGUUGGCCAGGCUGGUCUCGAACUCCUGACCUCAUGAUCUGCCUGCCUCAGCCUCCCAAAGUGAUGGAAUUAUAGGCAUGAGCCACCAGGCCCGGCCUGGAAAUAUCCAUAUAUUUUUAUAGUGCUUCUUAAAUCACUCUUUCUGUAUCUAUGAGCACAAAACACCAAAAUAAUAGUAAUAUUGAAGGUGUCUUAUUUCUACAAUUUCCAAGAUAGUGACAUCUGAGAUAAUCAUUUAACAAUUUAAAUGAACUUUAAAUAUACAGACCACAGAUCCAUUUUUCUUGAUUCAAUAAUAUUACUGACAUUCCAAUACACAAAGUUCCUUAUUAAACAGCAGAAAACUUCCCAGAAGUCUUUCCCCUACUUUUGUGUGAUAUUAAAAAACUUUGGAAAGUGUUCUAUAAGAGUUAAGAUUUAUAUAUAUUAACAAUAUAGCCAAGGUGCCCCUUUCUUUUUACUGCAGGUUUCUAGACCUUCAGCUCCUUAGAUAAAGUUUAUGAGAAUAUUAGAAUCUAAUAAUAAUUAGAUUCCACUUAAAAUUUGUUCUCAAUUUAUAACUAGAAGUAAUUAGAAGUCCCUAUCUUAAGUCAUUCUAGAGAUGUACCAAUAAUAUAAUAACAUUUCUAAGGAUUUUCUAUUUAAAUAAGAAGAACAGUAUAGAUUAUGUCAUUUUCUUGACAAUUUGUAGUGGUAAAAACCACUUCACUAUGUCUAUUGUUUUUGGUUUUCUGUAGACAUGGCUAUAGAAAGGGUGAUUAGAAUGUACUUAAAAAAAAAAGUUCCUAACCCAAGAAAAAGCUAAAAAGAGCCUUCCAUGGGGAAUAAAGCACUAAAAUUAGUUGUCAAUCAUGCCAAUACCUGCUUACAAUUUGGUGUCUUUUCCACUAAGUUGCAGCUUCUUCAGUUGUUCUUAAUCAGCAUUGGUUUUUCAUUGCAGUACCUCUUGCAUCCAUUUCUCUAUUUUCAGUGUCCCCGAACUAGUCCUCAGGGACUCCAUAACCUAUUAGGUUUGACAUCAAGUAUAGGAUCUUAGGUAAGUCAUAUAGUGACAUAGAAGCUCUGUGAACCCGAGUUUCCUCAUAUGCAAGAUGCAAGAGUGAGGGGAAAAUGAAAUAUCUAAUAUGCCUCUGUCCUCUAAAAUUUCAUUAUACUGCAAUUUCAAUUCAGGCUCCUCUCACAUAGCAGAGCCCUGUCUUUGCUGAUCUUUCUGCCUCCAAUCUGAAUUCUGGCAUUUAAGAUUUAUUCUAGCAGUUUAAAUCACUUUUGACUUUGGGAAAUCUUUUUGUUAACUUCAUUUGCUGUUCAAAGUUAAAACUGUCACCUGACUUUUUCCAGAUAUUCCUGCCUGUUUUCCAAACUUGAGUAAAACCACUGUGAAAGCUGGAGUUAGUCUAAUACUUCUUGGCAGAACCUCAUGCAGGUAACUUGGCUUGUUGGCCAUAAGUCUCUUAGUCACAGCCACAGGUAAUCCAUUUCCUUCUUGGCUGUUAGGAAAGGGCCUAAUUAGCGAAUCCAACAAAUUCCAUUCCCCACCCCCUUCUUCCAUGGGUUAGUUCUGUGCUCCUUUAGGCUUCUUGCCAGGCUGCUGCUCUGAGAGCGAUCAAAUUACCAUUAGAGCCAGCCAGCAACAGCACAAUGCUGUUUAUCUACCUUCUACCCCACAAUUCUUUUUCUUCAUCAAAAGUUCUGCUCCAUUCUUUUUCUUCCUAAGGAAACCUACCGCUUCUCCCAUUUGCUUAUGAUGAAUCUAUGAUUUUGUUAUAAUUUUUAAUGAAAUAAAACAACUUACCCUUUUUGUUCCCAGUAACACAUCACUGAAUUUCACAUGAAUUCAUGAGAUUUAACUUCAGGAGCAAAUGAAAUAAAUCCCUCCUCUCACCAAAAAAAAAAAAAA